rnacentral:rRNA from 1 species
AAYGACUCUCGGCAACRGAUAUCUCGGCUCUCGCAUCRAUGAAGAAYGUAGCGAACUGCGAUACUUGGUGUGAAUUGCAGAAUCYCGUGAACCAUCGAGUCUUUGAAYGCAAGUUGCGCCCGAAGCCAUUAGGMCGAGGGCACGUCUGCCUGGGCGUCACGCA